rnacentral:lncRNA from 1 species
AUUCCUGUUAUCUCCAGAUGGAUCAGAUCUCUAACAGAAUCUGAUACCAGCCGUUCAGGAGGAAAGUUCAAGGGAGAUUUGUGGAACUGCUCACUCUGUAAGGAGCAGAGCUACCUUCUGGCCACAGGCAGCGUGGGGAGAGAGAGGCAGGGGGAGGAACAAGGUUUAAUAAUAAAUAAAUAAAUAUAUAUAUAUAUAAAUAUAUAUUAAAAAAAUCCCCUUCACAUUUCAGUAGCAGCUCUUCCAAGCAUCCCAAACCAAAUUAACUCAUGAAAAAUUCCUGGCAGAUCGGCAUGAAUUCCACAGAUAGGCGAAAAGAGAUUUGGAGGCUGAGUGAAUAAACAGCUUCGAGUCAUGCAAAAGGGCAGUGGAGUGCACAGAAAGAGAAGCCAGGAGUCCAGCUCCGUUUCUCCUCUCUGGCUGGCUUUUUCUUGUGCCACUUGACCUUCGGGAGCACCGCUUGUGCCGUGAGGUUUUUUAUCUCUACUCAGGGGCAUCUUUGUCUAAUGAGCUGCAGAGAGGCAUGGAGAGCAGUCAGGAGGCUGAAGCAGUUCAGAUCCUUCUUUGGAGACCUGACCGUUUAGGAGUUUACUUCCCCACAUGAACUUGCACGAGGUGUCUGUGCCUUUCUACCAGUGACCUAGCAAGAGGUCUCAAGCUGAGGUGAGUGGAAAUGAAAACCAAAUUAGAUGCAUGGAUGAACCAAUGCAACAAGAGAUCCUGCAUUUUGGACUGUAUAGCUAAUGUCCUCUUAGACACUGAUUGCUAACCCUGGUCAAGUGUUCAGCCUUCACUCAUGUUCAGUGAAGAUAAAACUUAGCAAUAGAGGAAGCUGCCACCACAGGGGUUGUAAUCAGAUUCUGGAGAACUGGAUUCAGUUACCUGAGCCAGUGUAAAAUGACCACGGUAGGACAGUGUGACCAAGUGCACCACAAAGUUUAAGGUGUUUAAUUUCUCUUUGAAAUCUCUGGUGUGGUCAGAGGUCUGUGACCUCACAUGUCAUGACAGUUGGCUGCUUCCAGAUAUAUGUCUUACUCCCAUUUUUUCUCAGGAAAAUGGAAAGUACAGACACUUCCUUCUAGGCAAUAAAAAAAUUCAUCUUGACA